rnacentral:snoRNA from 1 species
GAUCAAUGGUGGAAAUAGUCAAAUCUGAGCAUCAAAGGACUGUUGGGUCUGCUUUGAUGCAUGAUCUCUGUAGAAAGG